rnacentral:rRNA from 1 species
AACGAACGCUGGCGGCAUGCUUAACACAUGCAAGUCGAACGAUCUCUUCGGAGAUAGUGGCGGACGGGUGAGUAACGCGUGGGAACCUGCCCCGAGGUACGGAAUAACUCAUGGAAACGU